rnacentral:rRNA from 1 species
CGUACACUCCUGCGGGAGGCAGCAGUGGGGAAUAUUGCACAAUGGGCGCAAGCCUGAUGCAGCGACGCCGCGUGGGGGAUGAAGGCCUUCGGGUUGUAAACUCCUUUCGCUAGGGACGAAGCUUUUUUGUGACGGUACCUAGAUAAGAAGCACCGGCUAACUACGUGCCAGCAGCCGCGGUAAUACGUAGGGUGCGAGCGUUGUCCGGAAUUACUGGGCGUAAAGGGCUCGUAGGUGGUUUGUCGCGUCGUCUGUGAAAUUCUGGGGCUUAACUCCGGGCGUGCAGGCGAUACGGGCAUAACUUGAGUGCUGUAGGGGUAACUGGAAUUCCUGGUGUAGCGGUGAAAUGCGCAGAUAUCAGGAGGAACACCGAUGGCGAAGGCAGGUUACUGGGCAGUUACUGACGCUGAGGAGCGAAAGCAUGGGUAGCGAACAGGAUUAGAUACCCUGGUAGUCCCA